AAAGAGCAAGUAACGUCUAAAUUAACUUUUUUUUGCUGAUGAACUGUAUAAAUGAGUGUCUAAUAGUGUUUUAAAUGUGUGCAUUCUUUAUUUUAGCAUUUUGGUGCAUUUUCUUUAAAAAUUAAAAAUUCUGUCUAAAAACCACAGUAAUGCGCCACCUUCAGCUGAAAACAUAGAAUUUGAGUCAUUUUGAAUAAAUUUUAGCCAAUGGCUAAAGAGUAAAGUACUACGUAAACCAGUAGAGUACUACGUAGCAGCUCCGUGCCAAAGUUAUAAAAGCAACGAGCGUCUCGGCCACGCCCUGUGGCGAGUGGGAGUUGGAUUUGCAAGCGAGUGUAGGAGGUCAGCGGUAGUUCAGCAUUAGCAUAUAGCAUUAGCAUAUCCUAGUCUUUAGCAUAUCUUUUAGUGUUAUAAAUACUUAUUUAGUGUUAGCUUGGCUGUUGUAUAUUAUAGUUUAGUUAGUGUUUGGCUGUUAGUGUAAUUGGGAAAGUAUUUCGGGUUUAGUGUUCCAUAUCGUCUUAGUAUUGGUGAGUAGGUGUAGUGUAGUAUGGUUGCGGUGACUCUGUGGGCAUUUUACCCGCGAUUCUGCACGUCUCCGUUUGAAGAGGGAGGCUGUGCCCACCGUGGCUCUUCCGCGAUUUAGAUGCAGCCCACCGACUCUGCUCCCCCACCACGGCGGGCUCCAGUCUGAGGUGAGUCAGCUAAAUAAACGUUUUAACAUCUUCUAAAGACAAUUCCCUACCUAAAUGCAAAGUCUGAGAGACGUGGUUCACUUCCUUUAGCUAGUCAGUCGGCAAUUCUGCAACAGUGUCUCUAACUGACGCAGCACUUGUUGACCGCAUUACAGCGUGAAAUCCAGCUUGUGACCCGGUUCUGUGAGGAAUUCUGUUCAGGAGGUCGCAUUUCAGGCUCUCCACAUCAUAUGUGACUGACUUUUACGUUAUAACAACGAUCACACACUAGGAAUGUUAUAAAGCGCCUAUAUAGGAGAUUCUUUUGUAUAUUAUCUGACUAUAAACUCCAACAACAAUGUGCUUCUAUUUUUUUUUUCAGGCUAAAUCUACCCAAGACACUGGCUGUCAGACUGAUUUAGCUGCAUGAAUGUACUUGUCCAGGCUGACGUGAAACCUUCCCUGUAGCAAAGCCAGCCAGAAUGGAGUUCACAGCCGCAGUGUGUCUGGUGACCCACGGGGACCAUGAUGAAAAUUCAUCUUCCAGAAGGUCCCAGAGCGUCCAGACCCCCUGAAAAGACCAAGAUGUGAGGUGUCUGCUGUUGAUUCCAGCUUCCACCUCAGUGACAGUGCAAGCUCAGUGAACUGUUCAAGGUAAAAAAAAAUUAAAACAUUUCAGAAUUUUUAAGAUAUUAACAAUUAAAUAAGUAUGUGAUUACAUCAUGACAUCAUGACGGAGGCUACUGAUUCUGCCCGUGACACUUGGUGGUGACGUGUGAGCUGAUUCUCCUGGAAAAUAACUUUUACAUUAAAUAUUUUGUUUUUGCUAUCAAAAGUAAAUUAACUAAUAACCUGCAUUAUUGCAGGACAUUCAGCAAAAUAUGGACUCUACACCAUGAGGCAUGCACACGUUAAUACUCAAUAAGAGCACAUAAGCCUGGCUGAUCACCUGAUAACUCCUGUCAUCUGGUUAUGACAGCAUGAGGAUGUCCUCACACACCUGUAACCUAUCAGCUCAUCUGGCAGAAUAGAGAGAGAAGAGACAACACCACAUCUCCUGUUCCUGGAAAGCCUUCAGCCUUCCUUCGAUGACUGAGCACCUCCAUCAGCUCUGUCUCCUGUCUGCCUACAAUUAUUAUAAUAAAUAUUGUGUUUGACAAGUUUUUUGUGCUGCCAAAUAUCUCAUUUAGAUUCCAGUUUUGAUAUUUUAAUGGAUAUUUAUAAAUUACAUUGAAUAUCACAUUUUUGUUGCAUGUUUAACUAGCUAUUGUGAUUAAUUAAAC